AAUAUAUACAUAUACAUCUUAUAUCGUAUUAACUAAAUAAAAAAUGCCAAAAGAUAAGAAAAGCAGAACGAGUUUUGAUUACCACGAUCGGUCUAGUAAUGAAAAUAACAUGAGGCACCCACGAAAAAAACAUUACAAGUCACAUCCACACCAUUCUAAGACGACUUCGGACAAUGCAACUCUGAUAAGGUUAUUGAUGAAGUUGUGUCCAACGGAUCAUCAUCAAAUAGUGAAAGCGGAUUUGAAAUUCUUAAGGAAGAGGAAGACGAGGAAAAAUUUUUGGAAGAACGAAGAAGAAAAAGAGAGGCAUUAAAAGAGAGACUCAAAGGUUUAAUUAACAGCGAUGAUAAUGAUAACAAUAGAGAUAAUAAUACUUUAAACGAUAACUGCAAAAACAAUAAUGACCUAGGUAUUCCUAGAGAAAACGAAAUUAUUUCUAACGAUAUUGUAAAUCAAAUAGACAAAAUGGAAAAUAGUUUCUUAACUUAUAAGAAAACUGAAUUAUCUGAAAGUUUAAACGGUGCCCCUUCAAUGUUGAACGAUUUGGAACAUACGUGAGUUAACUAUAAAAAUGGAAUGUAAAAAAAAAAAAAAAAAAAAAAACUAAUCAAAUUGUUGUUAUUAUUACUAUUAUACAUGC
rnacentral:lncRNA from 1 species